UACAGAGGAGCCAAGCGUUGUCCGGAUUGACUGGGCGUAAAGCGCACGCAGGCGGGUGCGCGCGUGGGGUGUGAAAUCUGGCCGCUUAACGGCCAGGCGCCAUCCCAUACGGCGCGCCUGGAGGGCUGCAGAGGUCGAUGGAAUUGCCGGUGUAGAGGUGAAAUUCGUAGAUAUCGGGAGGAACACCGGUGGCGAAGGCGGCGACCUGGGUCGAGACUGACGCUGAGGCGCGAAAGCGUGGGGAGCAAACAGG
rnacentral:rRNA from 1 species